AUUGAGAGGACCUUUCCCUAGUACGAGAGGACCGGGAAGGACGCACCUCUGGUGUACCAGUUAUCGUGCCCACGGUAAACGCUGGGUAGCCAAGUGCGGAGCGGAUAACGCAGCAGUCACCAGUCUGGUCCCCUACCCCACAAAGUAGCUUGAUGGCCGAACCACUCCCAAGGCGAAU
rnacentral:ncRNA from 1 species